UGUAUUGCUUCUUAAUGCUUCUAUAAUGCCUUGGCCUUAUUAGUAGUUACCAUACUGAAUUUAAUAAUACUUGUGUUGCCCCAUUUAACUUGAGUUUGUGACAAAGGUGCUUUCAUUGAGAGACUCUCCUUCCGCAAUGGGUGACGAUUUUGUUGAAGAUGAACUGGGCGAUCCAAGUUGCAAUUAAAGAAUUGACUACUACAAUAAAACAAUGCUCUUCUCAUAUGAAGGCAAGUAGGAAUCAUAUGAUUACCAGAAUGGAAUCAAUUGAGUUCUAAAUCGAGCACCAUCCUCAAGUCCAAUGAGGAAACAAGACCUCUGACUUCCAUAGAGCAAGGUCGACAUCAAAUUGAUCUUCCUCGUCUCGACCGGCUAGGGGAUAUAAUUGCAGCAAGGAAUCAGUAUGAAUCUUCUAGACUCGACUGUAUUGAGGUUAGACUUACAGAGAUGAUGAAUCAUCUAGGAUUAGCUGUUAAAUGUCCAUCUCCUUAGACUUCAAGCUUCGUAGUUCAGCCCUUUCCUUGGUAUUUCAUUGAGAUUUAAGUUCCUUUACCCACAAAUAUUUAGAUGCAACCACUCUUUGAACAAAGUGACGACUGAUUCCACCCUUGAGAGCAACCAUUAAGCAGAAGGAUGGGCCUCCGACGCCUCCAUGUUGCCUCUUCCAAUUGACACCACCAUUUCAUUUUGGGCCGAAGUAAUCCCAGCACAAUUAGGGCCUCUAUUGACCUAUUGCACCUGCUCGGACCCGCAAAUGAUUUUGAUAUGCUAGAAGGAGUUCGCCGCCGAGAUGUUAACAAGCUAAGGGGGUUUGGUGGUCAUCAGGUCGUUGUUCUCACGAGUGACGAUUUAUCUGAAGCUUCCUUUAGGUGCGUAUCUUAGUUACACUAAUGUUUCUAGUUCUAUCACAAUUCUCUUUCAUUCUUGAUAGAGAUGUCUCUGCCAGUUAUUUUCCUCCAUGGAAGGAAAACCUUCAGACUUUUGCUCACAAUGAAGUCAGUUUUGAUCGCAGUGAUGUCCCUGACCAUGUCUUUCUUCUUCAAGCUUCGUUGCAUGAUCAAAGGAUUAUUCACCACUUGAUCCAUUUUAUUAUAUUCGAUCCCAUCAUCCCAGUAUAUACAUUUCUCUUCCUCUUCUAAUGAGAUGUAGUCUACCGGCAUUAUGGUUAAGUAUCAUGAUUCUGGAGAUUUCUCAUGGUAUGGGAUUGUUUUUAGUAGGUUUCUUAUUAAACGACGAUGGUUUUUCACUUGUCUGAUUGUUAAUCUAAUAUUUGAUCCUAGUCCUACUAUUAACCUUCACUGUUGCAAUUUUAUUGGGAUUGCUAAACCAUAUUGCAUUUUGUGCAAUUCAUUAAUUUUUGAGUAUGGGACUUAUUCUGGAAAUGGUACAAAAAUACAUUUUGAUAGCUUCAUCAAUCUCAUAACAGUGAUGAUUGUGCACAAAAGAUCUCUCCGUGGCAUUGCCAAAUUUUAUUGUUUUGUGGAUAUGGCUUUUAUUCUAUUCCAUUUUUCUAGAGUUGAAUUUCAAUGUUGGCAGUGGAUUAUUGAUUUAGAUGUCAUGCUAGUUCUCGCUCCAAGCAUCCUUAUUACUCUAUUGUUUUUUCGGCAAUUAUACCAUUGCAAAUAUGUUAUCAUGGGUUUUUUCACUUGAUUUUGAUGGUUGAAAUGGCGUUUGUGUUACUUCCAUUUAAACUCAAGUACAUGUGCAACACAGAUCUUGGUACCCUUUUAUCUUGAUUCUUGGCCAGAAGUUGCUUCAAAAAUACUUCUAUUUUCUACAUGGAUUUUUGAUCCCGGAAUUACCGAGAGAGUUGGGCAUUUGUAUUUAAUAGUCUCGGUUCUUCCUUCAGCUCAUUUUUACACGUUACUCUUAGUAUGAGCUUUGACUAAGCUCAGCAAUAUGAUACCUUCUUGGGGGUUUCAUGUCCCAGCCAAUUUCUACAUGUUAAUGGAACUAGGAAUUGUAAGCCAUCCUUAUGCUGUAUCAUCUAGUAAAAUUUGUCAUUUUCAUGCACCAUUUAAGCUCAAGUUCAUAUGCAAUGUGGGCCUUGGUAACAUUUUAUCUUGGGGAGAAGUUGCUUCAAUGUUACUUUUAUGUUUCUUAUUAUUGGUUUUUGACCUUAGAAUUACAUCUAUUUUCGACAUGUUGAUGGAAUCUGGUGCUAUAAGUCAUCUUUAUGUUGAUUCAUCAAACUAAACUAGUCAUCUUUAUGCCACUUAUACUUGUGUUGUUCAUUAUGAUUGGGUCAUUCUGUACACAAACUCCCUUGAUAUCUCUAAAUUCUCACGAGUGUUUGACAUGGGUCACACAUUCAUCCUAGUUGAUUGGAUUUUUAGGCUUAAACGCUUUCUAGGUGCUACUCUCCCUUAUCUAUGCUCUAGGUUAGAGUGGAACACACUUAAAGAUGAAAAUACUAAUGGGUACCCUCUCUUCCAAGAAAGUUGAUGGUCAUUUUUCCUAUUGGACUUGACAAGGAUGCAAAGAACUUAUGCAUUCAACUCCAAGAUUUUUCAGUCUCUUAUAUUUUAACGUCUUGGAAUGGUUUGGAUCUGCCUACAAGGUACACUUUGCUUGGUUUAUAUGCUUCUUCUCUACCUUUUGACCUUGAGGACAAGGUCAAAGUCCCUGGGGGGAGUAAUGUCACGAUAUGGAGUGUGAACAUAUUAAGUGAUGAUGUGGCAAAGUUUGUUAGAAGAAAAGAUUGGGUGAAAGAAGAAAUGUGUGAAUGGUGUGAGCAACUCUUUAGCUAUAAAAAGGAAGAGGACGAAGCUAUGUGGUGUGGAUUGUUUUGCAAACCUUUCUCUCUAUUUGCUUUCUUCCUUUUCUGGACCUUCUUCUCUGUAUUUCCCUUUUUGUAAUUGCUUCUUAGUGCUUUUGUAAUGCCUUGGCCUUAUCAGUAGCUACUAUACUAAAUUUAAUAAUACUUGUUUUUUCCCAUUUAA